rnacentral:snoRNA from 1 species
GCUGCGGUCUGACCCAAUGGGGCUCUUCCUGGGUGGCACAGUGUAGGGAACGCCUCACAGAAUAACUGCGGUUCCCUGUUACUCACUGGACUGUUUGUUAGAUCUCUGGGAAAGAUCUACAGGCCAAGG